GCCCGCCUAGCUCAAUCGGAUAGAGCGUCAGACUAUUCCUAGGCGAUCUGAAGGCUGCGAGUUCGACCCUCGCGGUGGGCU
rnacentral:tRNA from 1 species